rnacentral:rRNA from 1 species
AACGAACGCUGGCGGCAGGCCUAACACAUGCAAGUCGAACGCUUCAGCAAUGAAGAGUGGCAGACGGGUGAGUAACGCGUGGGAACCUUCCCAGUGGUACGGAAUAGCCCAGGGAAACUUGGGGUAAUACCGUAUAAGCCCUUCGGGGGAAAGAGUUUAUCGCCAUUGGAUGGGCCCGCGUCGGAUUAGCUUGUUGGUGAGGUAAAAGCUCACCAAGGCGACGAUCCGUAGCUGGUCUGAGAGGAUGAUCAGCCACACUGGGACUGAGACACGGCCCAGACUCCUACGGGAGGCAGCAGUGGGGAAUAUUGGACAAUGGGCGCAAGCCUGAUCCAGCCAUGCCGCGUGAGUGACGAAGGCCUUAGGGUUGUAAAGCUCUUUUGGCGGGGACGAUAAUGACGGUACCCGCAGAAUAAGCUCCGGCUAACUUCGUG